rnacentral:rRNA from 1 species
GGCCAGACUCCUACGGGAGGCAGCAGUGGGGGAUAUUGCACAAUGGGGGGAACCCUGAUGCAGCGACGCCGCGUGGGUGAAGAAGUAUUUCGGUAUGUAAAGCCCUAUCGGCAGGGAAGAAAUUGGACGGUACCUGACUAAGAAGCCCCGGCUAAAUACGUGCCAGCAGCCGCGGUAAUACGUAUGGUGCAAGCGUUAUCCGGAUUUACUGGGUGUAAAGGGAGCGUAGGCGGCGCGUUAAGUCUGAUGCGAAAACCCGAGGCUCAACCACGGGAGUGCAUUGGAAACUGGCGGGCUGGAGUGCCGGAGAGGUAAGCGGAAUUCCUAGUGUAGCGGUGAAAUGCGUAGAUAUUAGGAGGAACACCAGUGGCGAAGGCGGCUUACUGGACGGCAACUGACGCUGAGGCUCGAAAGCGUGGGGAGCAAACAGGAUUAGAUACCCUGGUAUU